rnacentral:rRNA from 1 species
GAUGAACGCUGGCGGGAGGCUUAACACAUGCAAGUCGAGGGGCAGCAUAGGGUAGCAAUACUCUGAUGGCGACCGGCAAACGGGUGAGUAACGCGUAUGCAACCUACCCUGUACAGGGGGAUAACCCGGAGAAAUUCGGACUAAUAUCCCGUAAUAAUAUCCGGAGGCAUCUUUGGAUAUUUAAAGUUCCGACGGUACGGGAUGGGCAUGCGUAACAUUAGCUGGUUGGUAAGGUAACGGCUUACCAAGGCUAUGAUGUUUAGGGGUCCUGAGAGGGUGGUCCCCCACACUGGUACUGAGACACGGACCAGACUCCUACGGGAGGCAGCAGUGAGGAAUAUUGGUCAAUGGGCGCAAGCCUGAACCAGCCAUCCCGCGUGCAGGAAGACGGCCCUAUGGGUUGUAAACUGCUUUUCCAGGGAGAGAAACUUACGCACGUGUUGCGUGACUGACGGUACCCUGGGAAUAAGCAUCGGCUAACUCCGUGCCAGCAGCUGCGGUAAACA